rnacentral:rRNA from 1 species
GACAGAGGGGGCAAGCGUUGCUCGGAAUUACUGGGCGUAAAGGGCGCGUAGGCGGAAUGGCAAGUCGGUCGUGAAAUCCUUCGGCUCAACCGAAGAACGUCGAUCGAAACUGCCGUUCUUGAGGAUUGCAGAGGAGACUGGAAUUCCCGGUGUAGCGGUGAAAUGUGUAGAGAUCGGGAGGAACACCGGUGGCGAAGGCGGGUCUCUGGGCACUACCUGACGCUGAGGAGCGAAAGUGUGGGGAGCGAACAGG